UAUAGAAGCCGAAAUCAAACCAUUAGACUACUAGUCAAUGGUUUGAUUUCGGCUUCAAUAAAAGUUAGUUGUGGGGUUCGUGACCUUUUAUAGAAGCCGAAAUCAAACCAUUGACUAGUCAGCGCUGACUAGUCUAAUGGUUUGAUUUCGGCUUUUAUA
rnacentral:pre_miRNA from 1 species